rnacentral:rRNA from 1 species
AAAAGUGAAAUUUAUUGUUGUUUUAUAAGGAAAAUAAACUAAUAAAGAGGCUAACAAGUCUUUAAAAUAAACUAGGAUUAGAUACCCUAUUAUAUUAAGAUUUAAUAAAAUAAAGCUAGAUUAUUAAUAGAUAUUUUCUUUAAAUUUAAAGAAUUUGGCGGUAGUUUAGUCUGGUCAGAGGAACCUGCUUUUUUAUCGACAUAACACGUAAAAUCUUACUUAAGUUUGUAUACCAUCAUUAUUAGAUGAUUUUUAAAAAAUUAAAUUAUUGAAGAUAAUUAUAUUAAUAAAAUUAGAUCAAGGUGCAGCUUAUAAAUAAGUUAAAGUGGGUUACAAUAAGAUUUACUUAAACGGAAUAAGAUUUAGGAAGGAGGAUUUGAUUGUAAUAUAAAUUUAAUAAAUUUAGGAGAUAAGAGCUCUAAAGUUGUGUACAUAUCGCCCGUCGCUUUC